rnacentral:lncRNA from 1 species
ACUGCAGCUUUAAAAAAAGGUUGCGGGGGAGGGGCUGGAAAGCAGAAGGGUCUCAUUUCCACCCUGCUGGAGCUGGACACUGAAUGACUCAGCAAGUAAUGGUGCUUGCCACUAUGCCUGAAGACCUGAGUCUGAGCGACCCCACCCCCAGUUGUGUUCUGACCCCCCUCACUUGAGCUACCUCUGGAAAGCACACUACUCCUUCUUCAAAUAUGAAUGGGAGUGCAAAGGGAUGAUAAAGUGAAAAAGAUGGCAGCUCACGUGGGUGACAUACCUGGGGUAUGGAUGGGAUUCAGAAAAGACAUCACAGAAUUUUUGGUGGCUUUGAACUUUGAUCUUCCAGCUUUGGCCUCCGCAUCUCCGCUCAUUGUGUCUGCUCUGAUGAUCUUGUUUAAACGGUGACUGCCAGGAUGAAAUUCUGUGAAAGUGUUUGCUGGACAAACUUUUAACAAUCUAAUACAUGUCCUCCACAUUUCCCAUUCACCCCGUAAUGCUGUCACAAGGGCCGCAAUUGAGAGUGAGAGCCUGUGCGUUGUUGACACAGUAGAGAUCAAAGCAUGCAUCUCUGAAAGAUUCCUUGUGGACCCCCAAAUUUGAGCUCGUGCCUUUGGGGUACUCCCUGAAACACCACCAUCCAUGUGAACGUAGAGCACUUCUCCACUGACCAAAGACCAGGCUGGACUCAGGCUGCAGAGACCGCAGCUCUAACUCAAGGUUCUCCCAUGGGGCCAGAAGGCUUGGCAUCACUUAGAGCUCAGCUGCAUUUGUCAAUGCGUCCCCAACGUCUGUUAAUUUCUCAGUUCCUUUAUGUUUAUCUGCUUUAGCACAUUUCCUCAAAUUUUCUACCUUACUUUUGGCAGGAUGCGAGUGAGAUUUUAUUUUAAAAGAAGUUGUUCGUAAGUCUCCCAUAAACUCUUAAGAAUUCUAAACCAGAGAGGGUUUGACUCAAAGCAGCUCUCUCCUUGGCUCUGUGUAGACGCAGGCCUGCUGGUACCACAGGUUAGGAAAGAGGAGCUGCUGGAUUCCUGCUGCUGCUUAUAAGGCCUGCAAACACUGAGUCAGCCAGAGGGGAAUCCAUCAUUGUGGGUCACAGAAAAAUUCCUGAGGUUUGUUUUUAGUGAAGUUCUCGUCAUUUCAUUAACAAGUUUAUUAUUGCUUUUCAAAUUAC